GUGAGGAAUUUUCCGCAAUGGGCGAAAGCCUGACGGAGCAAUGCCGCGUGAAGGAUGAAGGCCUAUGGGUUGUAAACUUCUUUUCUUAGAGAAGAAUAUUGACGGUAUCUGAGGAAUAAGCAUCGGCUAACUCUGUGCUAGCAGCCGCGGUAAGACAGAGGACGCAAGCGUUAUCCGGAAUGAUCGGGCGUAAAGCGUCUGUAGGUGGCUUCAAAAGUCUCCUGUCAAAGAUCAGGGCUUAACCCUGGGCCGGCAGUAGAAACUCUGAGGCUAGAGGUUGGUAGUGGCAGAGGGAAUUCCCGGUGGAGCAGUGAAAUGCGUAGAGAUCGGGAGGAACACCAAAGGCGAAAGCACUCUGCUGGGCCACAACUGACACUGAGAGACGAAAGCGAAGGGGGCAAAAGGGAUUAGAUACCCCUGUAGUCC
rnacentral:rRNA from 1 species